AACUUUGAUCUACCUGAUGUCAUUGAUAAUUCAAAGGAUUAGUGAAAGGUAUGAAUGUUGAGGAACACAUUUCACUUGUGUCUGCAUGGUAAUUUUACUGACAAGCUACCACAAUUUGAUUGUGAUUGUUAUAUUUUAAAGGAUAUUCUACAGAAUUGGUCAGAUGAAGAUGCUCUGCUGAUAUUAUGUAAAGUUGAAUCAGUUGCUAAGAGAAAUAAGAGUCGUCUUGUGAUUAU